rnacentral:rRNA from 1 species
UGGGGAAUAUUGGACAAUGGGGGGAACCCUGAUCCAGCCAUGCCGCGUGUGUGAAGAAGGCCUUAUGGUUGUAAAGCACUUUAAGCGAGGAGGAGGGUACUGGUAUUAAUACUACCAGGUACUGGACGUUACUCGCAGAAUAAGCACCGGCUAACUCUGUGCCAGCAGCCGCGGUAAUACAGAGGGUGCGAGCGUUAAUCGGAUUUACUGGGCGUAAAGCGUGCGUAGGCGGCUAAUUGAGUCGGAUGUGAAAUCCCCGAGCUUAACUUGGGAAUUGCAUUCGAUACUGGUUAGCUAGAAUGUGGGAGAGGAUGGUAGAAUUCCAGGUGUAGCGGUGAAAUGCGUAGAGAUCUGGAGGAAUACCGAUGGCGAAGGCAGCCAUCUGGCCUAACACUGACGCUGAGGUACGAAAGCAUGGGGAGCAAACAGG